UUUGCCGCUGCAUUUUCAUUUCCCUUCAAAUGAUGUUUGCUCUGGUCCUCUCUUGAAACACGCAGCCUCCAACCCAAUCUCCGAUCCAAUCAGUCCUUGACCCCACCAGAUGUUGUGCCCCAUAUUGGAGUGUCCUCUCCGAUCUUCGACGUUGUCCUUGCCGGUGUGUGCUCUCCGAUCGGCAGCCUCUCUUGCUCUCUCUCUUAGUGGGUUUUGGGGAAGCUGAUGAGGAAGAGUGGAGGUUUUGGAAGUAAGCUGAGUUUGGACUGGAACUGCCUAUCAACACUGUGUGUGGGAUCGAGAGCUACGAAUCAAAAUUAGCAAGAUUUUUCUCGUGCCUUUCGUUACUUUUUGUAGCAUUUCAUUGCUAGUUAUGUAGUUUUAUAUAUGCACCUAUCUUUAUUCAUAAUGCUUUAUGCUCAUUUUCUGAAUUUAAUUUUUUCUAGUAUUUUUGGCUUCCAUUGACACAGGAGAAUAUGAUGGGGACCUAUAUUCCAGAAAAAAGGAUAGAUAAUGGCUGUUUCCUAGAAAAAUUUGUAUGUUAUGUAAUAUGUCACUUCUGUCUAAUUUUAGGCUAACGAGGUUUAACUUCAUCUUAAUUCUAAAACAGUUAAUGCAAGUUUAUUAGGAUAUAUGGCAAAAUAUAACUUUCCUGAGAUCUUAUCUUUGAUUCUUUGUGAGUGUUUCCUUAUAUUCCAUAAGUUUCAGGAUCCAUAUUUGAGAAUAUAUGUCUCUGUUGAUUCAAGGAUUUUAUCCCAGCUAAGUACCAUGUUAUUAUGAACAAUAUUUUUGGAAACUAAAGAAUGAACAUAUGGCAUUCGGGAUAAGCAGUUCCCUUCCGAUCUUUUCUUUCAGUUAUAUAUUUCUUCGGCUAUGGUUUAAGUUUUAUAUUGUCAUAAUAAUCAGAGAUUGCUUUGCUAAAUUGGGAUUUCAACUUUUCUAAGAAAAUGUAGCAGUUUUAGUAAGAGAUUAUAUACUAUAGAAGUUGACAUCUAGGAUAAGGUGCAAAAAUCUCUACGAAUAGUUUGCAACCUAGAACUCCAAAAAAGAAAAGUAUGCUUCUUAGAUGAAUGGAUUCAAUUUUGUUUUUAAGUUACUUAUCUUAAGUUAGCUCUCGAUAUUUAAUUCUUUAGACCCGUCAUUCCUAUAUGAAUCAAAGUGUCAAGAAUGGUCAUAUCUAUUUGAAAUCGAGCUUAGUUGCUAAGGCCUACUAAAGGCUCAUUUAAGUGUAUAAGUUUUGUUAUUUUUUGUUGUAACCAUAGGAGUUUACUUCCAUUCUAAGUUUCAUUGUAUGAACCAAAUACCAUCCUAUGUUUUUGCUAAUUAACUCGUUGCUUCCACAAUUUACUUAAACUGGUCUAAUGGCAUACAUAACUUGCAUAAAGGUUUGUAACUUAUUUUCGAUUAUCUAUAUGACCAGACAGACCAUCAAUCUUAGAGAAAACAUACGAGGGAACAAGCAAGAUGGAAAGCUGGAGCUUCUGCAUGGAAAAAUCAAUCCUCAUAUAUGAAUAUUAGCUCCAAAUCUCUAUGGUUGGAUAGUUAAGAAUUUGCAAAGUUCAAAUAUCAGAUAAUACUAUUAAUAGGUAGAGAUGCUUUAUGACAGAAUAAAUGGUUACUAGACUCUCCACAGUCCUCUCUUCCACUGCAUCACACAUCAUCAUGAAGACAGACAAUCAUUGGAUCUCUUCAUGCUGAGCAAUCAUUUUCUGUAUUGAUUUAUAUUACAAAGUGGCUUCAUUCCAUAAGUAUUGUAGAAAAUAAAGUGGAGUUGCCUAUGUUAUGUGUGCUUUCGAAGCACAAUAUUUAUUCCCUUUGUGAUUUAUUUAUUCUUCAUGUGCAUCAAAAUCUAUUGACUUAAGUUUCCAUUGCUAUAGGUUGAGUUACCAGAGGAUGUGAGGACACAAAUAAAGAAAAUUUUUGUAAUUCGUAAUCUUUGUCAAAAGAUUUCAGGUUUUUAACGACCCAAGAUCAAGUUAAAUGCAAUAUUUGUCCACCACCAUUACUGCUGGUAGCUAAACUUUCUAUGUAAUUUUAUUGUCUUUGUACGCAUUUAAAUCAUUGUUGUAAUUAUACAGUGACAAUUAUUUGUAUAUAAUGACUAUAGUUUUUAUAAAAUAUUAUUUACAAUAUUGGUAUGC